rnacentral:rRNA from 1 species
UGGGGAAUAUUGCACAAUGGGCGCAAGCCUGAUGCAGCCAUGCCGCGUGUAUGAAGAAGGCCUUCGGGUUGUAAAGUACUUUCAGCGGGGAGGAAGGGAGUAAAGUUAAUACCUUUGCUCAUUGACGUUACCCGCAGAAGAAGCACCGGCUAACUCCGUGCCAGCAGCCGCGGUAAUACGGAGGGUGCAAGCGUUAAUCGGAAUUACUGGGCGUAAAGCGCACGCAGGCGGUUUGUUAAGUCAGAUGUGAAAUCCCCGGGCUCAACCUGGGAACUGCAUCUGAUACUGGCAAGCUUGAGUCUCGUAGAGGGGGGUAGAAUUCUAGGUGUAGCGGUGAAAUGCGUAGAGAUCUGGAGGAAUACCGGUGGCGAAGGCGGCCCCCUGGACGAAGACUGACGCUCAGGUGCGAAAGCGUGGGGAGCAAACAGG